rnacentral:tRNA from 1 species
ACCUGGGUGGCUCAGCCGGUGAAGCAUCUGACUUUGGCUCAGGUCAUGAUCUCAUGGUUCGUGAGUUGGAGUCCCACAUCGGGUG